ensembl:lncRNA
UUUCGGAAUUGUUAGAUUACUUGUUGGUUAUUACUGCAUUGUCGGAACUAGAAGCACAAGCAUUUCGCUACACUCGCAUUAACAUCUGCUAACCAUGUGUAUGUGACAAAUAAAAUUUGAUUUGAUUUGAAAAGGGUGGCCUGGUCCAGCUCUGGGAAACACAUCACAGGAAUAAGGACAGAUGUAUUGCCUCUUGCCAGACCACCAUAGGUACAGAGAACUUGUUUACAAUCUCGCUUGGUUAAGGACUUCACGUUUUUUUCCAUUACAUACAAUAAGAGCAUUUACUACAGUCCCUGUACAGAUGUAUGACCCUGGAGUGUUGAGGCAUGUUUUGGUUUGGCUGAUCGACACCUACAGCAAAUCAAUCAAAAACACAAAAAUAGUACAGGACCAACCAAAACAACAUUCACCUCCUUCACUAUUACCCUCCUCACUAGGCCCUGUAGAGCUGAAGGUGUCGAUACAGUACUCCUCACUAGGCCCUGUAGAGCUGAAGGUGCCGAUACAGUACUCCUCGCUAGGCCCUGUAGAGCUGAGGGUGUCGAUACAGUACUCCUCGCUAGGCCCUGUAGAGCUGAAGGUGUCGAUACAGUACUCCUCGCUAGGCCCUGUAGAGCUGAAGGUGU